AACGCACCUUGCGCCCUUUGGUAUUCCGAGGGGUACACCCGUUUGAGUGUCAUUGUAAUCUCACUCCGACGACCUUUUGUUGUCUGGAUGUGGACUUGGACCUUGCCGUGUCACUAUGGCUGGUCUGAAAUGCAUGAGUGCACCCUGCUGUAGCAGCGUCUUCAGUGUGAUAAGUAUCUUCACUGAUUCAAGUUCCCUCGGGACACGCUCGUCUGGUGGGCUCUGCACUUCCAACUGUCCAUGUGGACAACCUUUGACAAUUUGACCUCAAAUCGGGUGGGAUUACCCGCUGAACUUAA
rnacentral:misc_RNA from 1 species